AAUAGAUACCCAGGUAGUCCACGCCGUAAACGAUGGAUGCUAGCUGUUAUGCGUAUCGACCCGUGUAGUAGCGAAGCUAACGCGUUAAGCAUCCCGCCUGGGGAGUACGAACGCAAGUUUAAAACUCAAAGGAAUUGACGGGGACCCGCACAAGCGGUGGAGCGUGUUCUUUAAUUCGAGGCUAAGCGAAGAACCUUACCAGGGCUUGACAUCCUUGGAAUUUCUCCGAAAGGAGGGAGUACUUUAUUGGACCAAGUGACAGGUGCUGCAUGGCCGUCGUCAGCUCGUGUCGUGAGAUGUUUGGUUAAGUCCAUUAACGGGCGCAACCCUUAUGAAUAGUUGUAUUUUUCUAUUCAGACUGCCCCGGUAACGGGGAGGAAGGGGGGAUGAUGUCAGGUCAGUAUUGCCCUUACGCCCUGGGCUAGAAACGCGCUACAAUGGCCGGUACAAUGCGCUGCCAACCCGCGAGGGGAGCAAAUCGCAUCAAAGCCGGUCCCAGUUCGGAUAAGAGGCUGAAACUCGCCUCUUGAAGCCGGAAUCGCUAGUAAUCGUAGGUC
rnacentral:rRNA from 1 species